rnacentral:rRNA from 1 species
GUAGUUUGAUCGUGGCUCAGGGUGGUAGGAACAUUAGAGGCUGGGGCCGCCUGAGGCUUUGGCAUGAGGCUGGGGGGCUGAGGAGAGAUGUGAAACAGUUACACCGGGGGUGAAGGUGUCAGAGAGGCCUCUCAGUUUCAGCUUGAGUCGGCAGGCAGGCCAUGGUGGUGGCUGGUGGGGAAGUCACCACUGCCCCAGGCCAGAGAGGAUUGCCUCUGAGCCAGGGAUGUCCAGGGCUGCCUCUGAGAGAGGUACAGGUGGGAGUGGACACGGGCAGGUCAACCACUGUCCCUGCCCCAU